UACGGGGGGGGGGCAAGCGUUGUUCGGAAUUACUGGGCGUAAAGGGCUCGUAGGCGGCCAACUAAGUCAGACGUGAAAUCCCUCGGCUUAACCGGGGAACUGCGUCUGAUACUGGAUGGCUUGAGGUUGGGAGAGGGAUGCGGAAUUCCAGGUGUAGCGGUGAAAUGCGUAGAUAUCUGGAGGAACACCGGUGGCGAAGGCGGCAUCCUGGACCAAUUCUGACGCUGAGGAGCGAAAGCCAGGGGAGCCAAAGCGGGG
rnacentral:rRNA from 1 species